CCCUCGUCUUCACGUAACAGAUCUGCUCCGAGAGUUCUCCAAGGACAGCAUUCGCCUCGUCAAGCGCUGCCACAAGCCCGAUCGUAAAGAAUUCUCCAAGGUCGCGCUCCGGACAGCGAUCGGGUUCGUCGUGAUGGGUUUCGUCGGGUUCUUCGUCAAGCUGAUCUUCAUCCCCAUC